rnacentral:lncRNA from 1 species
AUGUUAGUAAAUGCAUUAAUUAACAUUAAGUAAUGAACCUUAUUGUAAAGUGUGACCGAAAUACCUUAUAUUUGGUUCAAUCUGAUCUUAUAUUUGAGAAACAGAUGUGCCAUUUCUUGACUCUCAAUACAUCUGUACACCAACGUCUCGAUCUUCUGUUGUGCUUUCGGCUGUUGCUUGUUUUGUUUAACGCUUCCAUGUGGUUUGUCUUUUGCUGGAUGUCAUCUUGAUCACAGACUGCUCUGUUGUCUCCCUUUCUGAACAUCUGCUGUGUACUGUAUUGUGCCCUGUAGCUUAAUAUAUCCGAUAUUAUUGUCUUUCUUAAUGACAGCCUUGCACUUCAGACUCGAGAGCAACAGGCAGAUGAUAGUAGAAGACAAUAUAUACAGACUGAAAAUCUAUUUAUAUUUUUUUGGUACGUAAAUAGAUUUUGAGAACAAUAUUAUUAAAUAAAUAAACAACACAUAUUAGUGAACAUUCAUGAUGUAUCUGUGUGAGCGUGUGCAUGUGUGUCCGUACCUGAAAAGCAGAUUCUCGAUUCUCAUCAACAUCUCCACUUGUUCUAGGUGUUAUUGUGGUGUCUUUUGUAAGUGCUAACCGUCAUGCUCUUUACGUGUUCAUAUGUUUUUGUAGCUCUGAACACUGUGAGUAAUAAAACAGUGCCUGCAAGACAUUAAUAAAAUUCUACGCUCUCUCAAA